rnacentral:rRNA from 1 species
CGAACGCUGGCGGCGUGCCUAAUACAUGCAAGUAGAACGCUGAAGGAGGAGCUUGCUUCUCUGGAUGAGUUGCGAACGGGUGAGUAACGCGUAGGUAACCUGCCUGGUAGCGGGGGAUAACUAUUGGAAACGAUAGCUAAUACCGCAUAAUAGCAGUUGUUGCAUGACAACUGUUUGAAAGGUGCAAUUGCAUCACUACCAGAUGGACCUGCGUUGUAUUAGCUAGUUGGUGGGGUAACGGCUCACCAAGGCGACGAUACAUAGCCGACCUGAGAGGGUGAUCGGCCACACUGGGACUGAGACACGGCCCAGACUCCUACGGGAGGCAGCAGUAGGGAAUCUUCGGCAAUGGACGGAAGUCUGACCGAGCAACGCCGCGUGAGUGAAGAAGGUUUUCGGAUCGUAAAGCUCUGUUGUAAGAGAAGAACGAGUGUGAGAGUGGAAAGUUCACACUGUGACGGUAUCUUACCAGAAAGGGACGGCUAACUAC